AAGAAAACUACAGGUCAUCAGCUAUUCGUAAAAAAUGUAUAUCUCAAAUUAUAAAAUGUAAAUUAUUCUUAUCUUUUGUUAAGUUUCUGUAGGUUCUGGGGCUGAGAACAGACAUGUUGAGGCUGGUGAAGAAGUGUGUUAUGCUUCAUUAGACAUGCCUUCCACACAGCAACAAAGGCAGAGGAAUGAAAAAGGCUUAGAGUUCAGACUUCAGUAUUUAUUCUGAUGUCAGAACCAGCAGAAUGUAAAGUAGAGUAAACUAAAGUCAUUGUUCUUUAGUAGAAAUAUGAUUCAAAAGAGUGUUAAUGACAAUGUUCUGGCAUCUGCAUCCUAUUUUCAUUGAUUCUAAUAUUGUAAGUUUUUAAUGAUUAAAAAUGUAAAUACAUUUAAGAAAGGUUAAAUGUUUUUUCAGAAUAUUUGACUUGCAGUCUCAGAAAGGACUCAGUGUUGUUUCUGGGUCUCUCAGUUUAAUAUAAUUUAAGCCAAUCACAUGAGUGCAUAUGCAGUAGUACUCCCAGCUAAAACUGAAGUUCUUAAACUCUUUUCAUGCCACAAAACAAACAUCUCCCUGCUACAACAACAGAAAUGUAGAAUGCAAAUGUACAUCUAACAGAGCUCUGAACAUUCCUAAUAUUAAAAAAA